rnacentral:lncRNA from 1 species
GGAGCUAUAGUCGGAAGAUAAGGAGGUGGAAGGAGGAACGAGGGGGGAACGCCACUCACAAACGGUUAGUUUUCCUUUUUACCAGUUCAGGAUUACGCAAUUCAUUUUCCAGUUUUUUACAUUCCGCUGGGGGUGCUGUGUUGCGUAAGUCUUUUCUUGGAGCCAUAAAAAACCAACAGAGUUGGUGUGUGGUAUGUGGGAGCAAUCCUGG